AACUGAUACUACCUGCGGGAACCUGCGGAAGGAUCAUUACCGAGUUUACAAAACUCCCAAACCCUUUGUGAACCUUACCUAUCGUUGCUUCGGCGGGAACGCCCCGGCGCCCUCGCGGCCCGGAACCAGGCGCCCGCCGGAGGCCCCAAACCCUCAUGUCUUUAGUGGUUUCCUCCUCUGAGUGACAUAAACAAAUAAAGUAAAAACUUUUAGCAAUGGAUCUCUAGAUCGGAAGAGCAC
rnacentral:misc_RNA from 1 species